UACGUAGGGGGCAAGCGUUGUCCGGAUUUAUUGGGCGUAAAGAGCGUGUAGGCGGCCAGGUAGGUCUGCUGUGAAAACUCGAGGCUUAACCUCGAGCUGUCGGCGGAAACCAUCUGGCUAGAGUCCGGAAGAGGAGAAUGGAAUUCCCGGUGUAGCGGUGAAAUGCGCAGAUAUCGGGAAGAACACCCGUGGCGAAGGCGGCCGCUGGC
rnacentral:rRNA from 1 species